AGUCCCUUUGUGGACAUCCAAUAAAAAUCGGAACGAUAAACAGAAGAUUAGCAUGAUUCAUCUGGAAAAAUAACACGUACAAAUCGAGAAAUUGUUACAUUCGUU
rfam:Morus notabilis contig7643, whole genome shotgun sequence.